rnacentral:lncRNA from 1 species
UGGGUGUGUUUCUAGGGGAAGCUGUUUUUGUGUUUUUCCAGGGGAAACAUUUUUUUUGUGUUUCCAGGGGAAACAUUUUUUUUAAAUGUUUCAAUUUCUGUCUCGUACUAGUAAUUGUGUAACCACUUAGGAAAGAUUUCAUUUUAUGUUUCCAAGGGACACAUUCAAUUCUUAUUAUUUUUGUGCUUUACAGGAGAAGCAUGUUUUUUAGUUUCUAUCGGGAAAAAAAAUAUUUUCAGGUUGUUUCCCGGGGAUGUUUUUGGUGUGUUUCCAUGGGAAACAUUUUAUUUGUUUCCAGUGUUG